AUUGAACGCUGGCGGAAUGCUUUACACAUGCAAGUCGAACGGGUUUUGGAUUUAUUCAAGACUAGUGGCGCACGGGUGAGUAACACGUACACAACAUACCCAUGAUCGGGGGAUAGCCUUGGGAAACUGAGAGUAAUACCCUAUAGUAUUGACUGGAGGCAUCUUUGGUUGAUUAAAGCUGAGGCGAUGAUGGAUUGGUGUGCGUCUGAUUAGGUAGUUGGUGGGGUAACGGCCUACCAAGCCGACGAUCAGUAGGGGGCGUGAGAGCGUGAUCCCCCACACGGGUACUGAGAUACGGACCCGACUCCUACGGGAGGCAGCAGUAAGGAAUAUUGGUCAAUGCCCGGAAGGGUGAACCAGCCAUGCCGCGUGCAGGAUGACGGCCCUAUGGGUUGUAAACUGCUUUUGGAUAGGAAGAAUGGAUUGUAUUGAUAUGAUUUUGACGGUACUAUCAGAAUAAGCACCGGCUAACUCCGUGCCAGCAGCCGCGGUAAAG
rnacentral:rRNA from 1 species